CCUCCGAACAACGAGGAAAAACAACACUGAGAUUAACAUAAUACUGAAAAAACAAAGAGGGAAUAAACACCCAGUGAAGUAAAGGCAUGCAGAAAUGGAACGGUAGAGAGAGAGGAGGAGGAGGAGGAGGAGGAGGAUGGUUGGUUGGCUCCAGA